CCACUUUUGUCUCCGCUCUCCCUGAAGAGCGCGGCCGCUGGGGCUGAGCCCUCUGCUCCUCCCCGGGGGACCGGGGCCCGCCGCGAGGGGCGGCUGAGGGGAGAGGGGCAGGGGCCGGGGCCGGGGCCGGGGCCGGGGCCGGGGCCGGGGCCGUGCCGCCCCCCCCUCCCCUCACGCGCUGCGGCCAUUGCCCCUCGCGCCUUGCCCCGCCCCCGCUGCCCCGCGCAGCGCCAUUGGGCGGCGGGCGGGGGCGGGCCGCGGGCGGGGGGGCGGCGCCGCCGUCAGCUGUUCGCGGCCCGCCCGGCGGCCGCACUCCGGGGCGGGCAGGCGGCGGCGGCGGCAGCGGCUCCCGCUCCCGGGGCGGCCCCGGGGGACGCUCGGCCCGGUCCGGUCCGGUUCGGCUCCGGCCCGUUUGUCGCGGCUCGGCUCGGCCGCUCCCGCUCCGCGGUGAGUGCCCGCGGCGGCAGAGCGCCGGGCUGCGGCCCCGGUACCGGCGGUCAGGGAGCGGCGCGGGGCGCGGCGCCGUGCCCCGGGGCGGCGGCUCGGGCUCGGGCUCGCCGCCGGUGCCGGUGCCGGGGGGCAGCGCCUCGGCGGGGAGCGCGGCGCAGCCGGCGGCCGGCUUCAGCUUCAGCUUCAGCUUUGUUUGGGGCGCUGGCACGCACGUGUGCGCCGAGCCCGCCCCGCUGCACGCCCGCCGCUGCCUGUCAGCGCUGCGGGGCUGCAGGGGGAGCCCGGGGGGGCCGCGCCGAGCCGAGGCUCUGCCGGGCGCCCCGCAGCAGGAGGCAAAAGGCCGGGGGCAGAGCCGGGCUGCGGGGGCUGCGGGCAGGCGGGGGACAGGCGGCCGGGCCCCCCUCUCCCCUCCCGCAGGUACCGCUGUGGGCUCCUGGGGGAGGUGGGGGCGCCGAGCACGUCCUCACGAAGCUGUUGUUGCUGUCUCCUUCAGGCCUGAAAUUCCUCUCGCUAGUCUUCCGUUCUGUUAAAUGCUUCCUCGCAAACCAGAGCAAAGGAAGAGACGGGAAGAGUUGA
rnacentral:lncRNA from 1 species